GCCUUCGUGGUGUAACAGUUAGCACACUGGGCGAGGAUUCGAAAGGUCCAGGUUCGAGUCCCGGCGAGGGCA
rnacentral:tRNA from 1 species